AGCCAUUUUAGCUCAAG
rnacentral:sRNA from 1 species